rnacentral:rRNA from 1 species
AUUGAACGCUGGCGGCAUGCUUUACACAUGCAAGUCGAACGGUAACAGGCAGCAAGGUGCUGAGGAGUGGGGCAAGGGGGAGUAAUGCAUCUGAACGUGCCCAGCCGUGGGCUAGAACUAGUCGGAAGAGUAGCUAAUACUGCAGACGAGGUAUGGAUGCAAGCGGGGGACCGUAAGACCUAGCGAGAGUGGAUCGGCGGAUGUGAGAUUAGGUAGUUGGUUGGGUAAAGGCUCACCAAGCCAACGAUCUGUAGAUGGUCUGAGCGGCCGACCAGCGACACUGGGAGUUAGCCACGGACCAGAGUACUAAGGGAGGCAGCAGUGGGGAAUUUUGGACAAUGGGCGGAAGCCUGGUCCAGUAAUGCCGCGUGUAGGACGGAGGCGUUCCGGUUGUAAAGUGCUUUUGUGCGGAAUAAACCGGCUCUGGUUAAUACGAGGCGCUAGUGACGGUACCGUCAGAAUAAGCACCGGCUAACUACGUG